UAAGGUGGUUAUAGCGACGGGGCUCACCUCUUACCAUUCCGAACAGAGUAGUUAAGCCCGUUAGCGCCGAUGGUACUGCAUUUGCGGGAGAGUAGGUCGUUGCCUUUU
rnacentral:rRNA from 1 species